rnacentral:lncRNA from 1 species
GUAGGUUCUUUGGGAUUGUCACUACAUAUAUACACACACACUGAGGCACCUUGUUUGAAUAUAACCCUUGAGCCUUUCUAGCCAUCCGCUAACUUUGUCCUUUGUUAAACCCAUUUGAGCUAGUACUUAUUGUUUGUUUAACCACGUAAAUGUAACCUGCGGCCCAAAUACUUCCAUACCCUGUUCAGAGUCAAUGUGAUAUUAUUAAGCUGUGUUAAAAUUCAAAGUUUGGGGUAAACCCCAUAUGUAUCUAAACCAAGGUGAGUGCGAGAAAAAAAUAGAAUAAGAAAAACCAAUCAUAAA